rnacentral:sRNA from 1 species
CGCAAGCAUCCGAUGCGCUAUCGCCACG